AUUGAACGCUGGCGGCAGGCUUAACACAUGCAAGUCGAGCGGAGAUGAGGUGCUUGCACCCUAUCUUAGCGGCGGACGGGUGAGUAAUGCUUAGGAAUCUGCCUAUUAGUGGGGGACAACAUUCCGAAAGGAAUGCUAAUACCGCAUACGUCCUACGGGAGAAAGCAGGGGAUCUUCGGACCUUGCGCUAAUAGAUGAGCCUAAGUCGGAUUAGCUAGUUGGUGGGGUAAAGGCCUACCAAGGCGACGAUCUGUAGCGGGUCUGAGAGGAUGAUCCGCCACACUGGGAUUGAGACACGGCCCAGACUCCUACGGGAGGCAGCAGUGGGGAAUAUUGGACAAUGGGGGGAACCCUGAUCCAGCCAUGCCGCGUGUGUGAAGAAGGCCUUAUGGUUGUAAAGCACUUUAAGCGAGGAGGAGGCUACUGAGACUAAUACUCUUGGAUAGUGGACGUUACUCGCAGAAUAAGCACCGGCUAACUCUGUGCCAGCCGCCGCGGUAACAC
rnacentral:rRNA from 1 species